rnacentral:rRNA from 1 species
UACGUAGGGGGCAAGCGUUGUCCGGAUUCAUUGGGCGUAAAGAGCGUGUAGGCGGCCAGGUAGGUCGGUUGUGAAAACUGGAGGCUCAACCUUCAGAGGUCGACCGAGACCAUCUGGCUAGAGUCCGGGAGAGGAGAGUGGAAUUCCUGGUGUAGCGGUGAAAUGCGCAGAUAUUGGGAGGAACACCAGUGGCGAAGGCGGCUACCUGGACCGGUUCUGACGCUGAUGCGCGAAAGCGUGGGUAGCAAACAGG